UCGUGUUUGACUACACCCAGAUUGGGACCUAGUUUCGGGAUCUGCAUAUUUGUUCUCUUUGAAGUACAACAUUUCCUGCAUAGACUGUUUUAUAGAAAUAGACGUAGUCUCCGGGUUUGAAAAGUGAAGCCAAUGCAGAAGUGCCUUUAAUGUGCAAUACCACCGAAGGUGGUUGGGAGCUGACUCCAAAAAACUCUGGUUUUACACGUUCAAAAAAACAAUUUCUCUCAUGAAAUACUCAGUCGAUAAUUUUUUGCUGAUAUGGUUUUUUUCGGCUCCUCCUUCGCUACACCCCCUGUCUCACCUUCGUCAAGGCAGUUGUCCUCUCCAGUUGAUGCUUGUGCGGGUUUCCUCAGCAUGCAACCAACACCAGGACUGUUUUCUUUUUCCACUGCCAGAGGGGAUUCGGUCACUGCAGCCCAGCCACUACAGUAAUUCAUAACACAGAGGCUAAGAAAAGGAAGUGUACAGUCCCCAGUGGUACCUGAAGUAGAUGUCACAGUCUCGAAAAGUGCUCUGCAGGGUCACUGCGUAUUUUGAUUUUUUUUUUUAUGCCUGAGGUGAGCGAAACCUUGGUCGGGACGAGGGAGACCUGAGGGAAAAGGAUGGUGAUGGGUCGACCUGAAGUCCUUUGGGUGCUGCAGCUGCUGUUUACAGUCUACUCCUGUAAGACAGUGCCUAAAUCGGAAAAUACAAACUCCAAACAAACAAAAAUCGCCACAGAACUCUAAAAUCCGGGUGACGGCUGAUCCGGCUCUUGUCAGAAGCAGACGUUGUUUGAGAUGACGCUUCACAGGAAAGG